CGGCGGCGACCUCGGCCUCCGGC
rnacentral:piRNA from 1 species